rfam:Triticum aestivum genome assembly, contig: Triticum_aestivum_CS42_TGACv1_scaffold_320382_4BL
AAACUGCCGGUGAUGGUGUUAAAUAUACUUUGCAGCUUUUUGCUUUGAAAUAAACCUACAAUCUGAGGCAUUUG